GCAGUCGAAGGCAGCACGGACUUCGGUCUGGUGGCGAGUGGCGAACGGGUGAGUAAUAUAUCGGAACGUGCCCAGUCGUGGGGGAUAACGUAGUGAAAAUUACGCUAAUACCGCAUACGAUCUAAGGAUGAAAGCGGGGGAUCGCAAGACCUCGCGCGAUUGGAGCGGCCGAUAUCAGAUUAGGUAGUUGGUGAGGUAAAGGCUCACCAAGCCAACGAUCUGUAGCUGGUCUGAGAGGACGACCAGCCACACUGGAACUGAGACACGGUCCAGACUCCUACGGGAGGCAGCAGUGGGGAAUUUUGGACAAUGGACGCAAGUCUGAUCCAGCCAUUCCGCGUGCAGGACGAAGGCCUUCGGGUUGUAAACUGCUUUUGUACAGAACGAAAAGGUCUCUAUUAAUACUGGGGGCUCAUGACGGUACUGUAAGAAUAAGCACCGGCUAACUACGUGCCAGCAGCCGCGGUAAUACGUAGGGUGCAAGCGUUAAUCGGAAUUACUGGGCGUAAAGCGUGCGCAGGCGGUUAUAUAAGACAGAUGUGAAAUCCCCGGGCUCAACCUGGGAACUGCAUUUGUGACUGUAUAGCUGGAGUGCGGCAGAGGGGGAUGGAAUUCCGCGUGUAGCAGUGAAAUGCGUAGAUAUGCGGAGGAACACCGAUGGCGAAGGCAAUCCCCUGGGCCUGCACUGACGCUCAUGCACGAAAGCGUGGGGAGCAACAGGAUAGAUACCCUGGUAGUCACGCCCUAACGAUGUCACUGGU
rnacentral:rRNA from 1 species